AUAUAUGUAUAUGUGUAAUUACUGAAGAUCAUCUUAUCAAGACUAAUCAGCAAAUUAUAGUGUACAAAAGGAUCAGAUUAGUAUAUCACAAUAUAAUUAGUUAAUAUUUCACUACAAUUCUGACACAAUAAUCUUUUAAUAUUUGAGUAUUCAACUAUUAUCAUAUAAGUCUAUGAAAAGUCUGUCCAUGAUAUAACACAAGUACUAAAUACUAGAUAAUAAGUAUUUAACUUAUGUCCAUAUAUAUUCAAUGCUCAUUUAAGACCUAAUAAGCAAAUUCAUUGUCCCCUCCAAGUCCUGCACAAAAAGACUAUCAAACUGACCUUUAAUGCAAGAGUCUAGUAUCUAAUUAAUAAUCCAUAAGAUUACUAUUGUCUUUACAAUAUGAAAAUGUAUUUCACCAUCACAGGCUAUAUUAACCUGUUAUAACGAUAUCUAAAUAUUAAAGUUUAUUAACAAUAUUCAAAUAUUGAAAUUUACGAUAUCUAAAACAAGGAUCUUUUAGUCAUUGACAACUUGUAUAGUGAAAUAACUUUGCAUAUCUCAGCACAUAUUUCUACUUAUUCACUACACACAAUAACAAUUGUUUCACUUAUCUAGGUGAUGACAACAACCAGAUGGUAAAUCGCCAGAAGUCUAAUAAAUCUCAGGAGCAUUAUACAAGCCAUGAGUGAUCAUGAUUUCCAAGAGGUCCAUAUCCACAACGUAUUUCACCGACUUAAGAUAAUAUAUGCAUAUAUAUCAAAACACCAGUAUGCACAUAUUAAUUAUUUUCAUAACUCAAAUUCUGAAGAGAACGUGUUAUAUUGCAACAACAACCUCCUACAUAUGAGUCUUAUUUCACUUGGAAUACAGAAUUUCAUUUAUCCGAACAGAACAAUGAUCAAGCUAAGUUUUCCAUCACACUCCACAUAUAAUUUUAACCAGAAUUAGUUAUAUAUAACAUAUCUGAUAUCAAUAAUACUGAAUUAAUGAAAUAACGAAACUAAUUGUUCAGUGAUAUUAACAAUAGAAUAAUAUAAUAAUUAUUCCCUGUAACACAUCACAGUUCAAAUACAGAAGUAGAAGAAAAAGUCACAGCCAUUUUACUACUAAUUCACAGUUUAUUAAUUAUCAUUAAUUAACAAACUAGAAGUCUAUUCAAUUUUAAAGACAGAUACUAAUCCGAUUUAUAUAUUUCAGUAAAUCCUGAAGAGAGCAUGUUGUAUUGCAAUUACAACUUUCAAUGUUUAGAUUAAAGGAAAGUCACAGUUAUUUUGGUCGAAACAUUAUUCAAUCAGUGCAGUCUUAUAUCCGAAAUCAGACCAUUAAAUACAAUAAUAAUGAUUAUUUAUUAUAACACAUCACAAUGCAGAUGCAAAAUAGAAGAAAGUCACGACUGUAUUAUUAUUAUUUCACAACUUAUUGUUUAUCAUUGACUAAUUAAUUAAAAUCUAUUCAAUUUAAAGUCAGAUACUAAUUUAACUGGUCUAUUUCAGUAAGUUCGAUAUACCUAGUAUUGUUAAUAUUAAAUCAUGUCCACAAGAAGUUCAUCAUACAGCAAAUAACUAUUUAACACCAUAUUCCAAAUUAGAAUAAUAAUAUUGUUUUAUUCAACAGGGUCCCAUUCAGAGUCUAAAGAUGACAUCAGAGCAAUCAUCAUCAAUUUUAAUACAUCCGACUUAACGAAAUACAUAUACCGUAUAAAUAUACACAUAUGUAAAUCUUGGAAUGAAAAGCGACAAUAUCCUCCUCCAGAAGAGCAACAAAUAUGACAGAAGCACUAAUAGGACUUAUCAUUAGAAAGUUUCUUAUACGAUUAUCAAUCCAGACUAAUUGAAGUAAUUAAUGCAUAUCAAUGUCUAUUAUCACAUUAAUAAUAAAGUCACUAAUUAUCAGACCAAUAA